rnacentral:tRNA from 1 species
GGGCCCGUAGCUCAGCUUGGAUAGAGCGGCAGCCUUCUAAGCUGAUGGUCACGGGUUCAAAUCCCGUCGGGCCCG